rnacentral:lncRNA from 1 species
UAGACCUCUUACCAGACACGAGCAGUUGUCUUGGGAAUGCAGAUUUAUGAAAAUUGAUAGCUUGUCUUUGUCUGGCAAAACAAAGUGCCUUUCUUUCCCAUUUUGUUCUCUGCCUGUGUAAAAGAGACCAAUGUGUUUUUUUUUUUUCCCCUUCCUUUUUAAGGGGCAGGGGUGGGAUGUGAAUUUUUAAAUUAGACAUACCUCUCAAGCAAGGAAACAUCUCUUGGGUCUCUGCAACUCCUUUGAGCCCCAGAGAAAAAGACGUUGACUUCAAGUUCAAGCUAAAAUGAGGACUUAAAGCAAAUAAGCUGGGGUCGAAGGAGACAGAUGUCCAGAUUGUAUGUUUAAAUUGAUGAGGAAUAAACAGGUUAUUAUAAACAAAGCCAGACAGCUGGAUAUGAUUAGAGAACGCUUUUUCAAAAAUAAAUAAACAAAAUUUCAGUUCUCUCUUUUGAAAAUGAAAAUGUAGGAGAAUGUUAAAAAUGUUCUAUUUUUGUAUCAAGGAGACAGUAUCUAGGAUUUUAUGUUUUUUUCAGUCCCAUAAAUUAUGUGUUGCACUUACCUAGGCUUACUUAGCAUCGCUAAAAAUAAUAAGGGUUUUUCUUCUCUUGGGAUGCGUCACAUGUUCCUCCAAUUACCCUGCUUUCAGUUUCAGGGCGCUGAGCAGGGCCGCUCAGAAGGUAAACAGACAGCUGAGCUAACACUACAGAUUUAAAAUGUCGCUUGAACAUACCCAUUCAAUAAAGAGACAAAGGGGCCACACUGGCCUUUUUUUCCGCCCUAAAAAUCUGGAAAGCAACUGGGUUUUCUAUCACACUUUUGGGGGUUUGAACAGCAUCCAGACAUCUGUAAGAUGUGUAUUUUUAAUCACAUCUGACUUUCACUCCCAAGCCUUGUGUACCGAAACUUUAAACUGCCAUGUGGCCUACAAGCCUGCAAAGCAUCCCCCACCCCUAAACACGUGAAGUUUCCAAAAGCAUUUGUUCCCAAUUUCUGCAGUGUGGGAUAGAGCACAUCCACUGGGCUCCCUGACUCUUAAAAAACUGGAAACCAAGCUUGAUUUGGCAGUGUUUCUGCGAGCUGCACCUUCCCGGGAGACUUGCCUUAGCUCUCUCUCUCUCUCUGACCCACGUAAAUUUUUUUUGUUUGUUUGGGUGAAAUGAUGUAAUAAUUUUGCUACCAAAUAAAGAAAAUACUUGUUGAGCAUUUAUUAGGUAAGAGACUCUGUGCUAGCAGUGAAGUGGAGGUGUGUGGGGGGAUGAUACAGUGCCUGCCAUCACUGAGCUUGGGGUCCAGUCAAAAAAGAAGACAGAGGCGGGGGAAAUGGUCAAUAGCAAUCAAAGAAGAAAAGAACUAUAUGGAAAAUAACAGAAAACAAACGGUAUGUUUAUAACUCUUGCCAGAAGAUGAAGUAAAUGAUUAGGGUUCAAAAUGGCAAAGAGUAUUACAUGAGAGAUGUACAAUGAUCAAGGGAUUACAAGAGGUUGAGCAGAUGUACUGACUUGGCUGAGGCAACACUAGUUUAUACUUAAUGGUGUAAUAUUGGCCACUUUCAUUCUUCAAAGUGUCCUAGUUUGCAUGAGGAAUUAUGUAGUCACCCUACUUAUGGAAGACUGAAUUUAGACACAAGGUAUGGAGAGUGGAAAGGAUAUCCCAGAAGGCAGUAAACAAAGAUUAUAAGCAAGAUCAAAGAGAGAUAAGAUAUAAAGCGCAUGCCAAGGCUCAGAGAGUAAAGCCAUGUUUAGCUGUAACACAGACAAGUACAUAUGCAGUUUGCAUGUGAAGGUUAUUACUAUCAAUCCACUAUCUAUGUAUAGGGAAUUUUAUUUAAAUUACCUAAAAUUAUAUAAAAUUAUGAAAGCUGGGUGACAAAGAAUUGAUGCUUUUGA